UUUGACUUAGUGGGGCUCGACCCUGGGGUCGGGUCCGUCUAGGUCAGGUUUCACCUUUUGAGACCAUCAUGUACAUUUUAUGUGCUACUUGUUGCAUUAUAGGAAACGCCAUAUCGAAUGUUGACCGGCUUUUAAGUGAAUUAAUUGAUCUGAAAAAGGGGUUAAAUAAAAAUUUUUAAGGAUUUAUUUUAGAAAAUAUAUAAAAUUUUACACAGAACUUUUUUUUGUAAAGAUUAAGUCGUUUUAACGUCGUGGUCUCGUUAUGUCCGUUUUCUUUGGUUUUAAAAUCUUUCUCAGGAAUGUCAUAGAGCCUAUUUUUGUCAAACAUUUUUUAAAUAAUUUGAUCCACUAUUUUAUUUAAAUAAUUUAAUUAUUUCGGAUCUGUCUGGUUCAAACGUCAUCAAAUUAUUGUUUCUACUCUAGGAUAUUUUAGAAGACUUGGGAUACUUCCUGUUUUGUCAGUUAUUAUUUUCUCAUGCUUAUUUUGAAAUCUUAUUCCGUGUCGUUUCGUCAACUUCUUUCGAAAAUUAUUUUUAUCCUGCUUUAGGAGGUUUAAAAUAGAAUUCUUAUUUGCCAUCAUUGUCCUAUAGGGCAAUAUGAACUUAGUUGGAAGGAGUGACAAGAGGCCGAGGGAUGACGAAGUACCCCAUUUCAUGGUGUAGGAUAAAGUUCCAAAGCUAUUGCGGAUAUGGUAUGACAAUAUGACUGACUAUGGACAGGGAGAAGUAUAUAAACACUUGGGAUUUUUAAGGAGUAUGUUGAAUGUUGAACCACGAAGAGACGUGAUAGAAUUUUUGGUACAGUUUUGGGAUCCUUCAAACAACGUAUUUCGAUUCUC
rnacentral:lncRNA from 1 species